ACUGGAAAAUCGCAUCGACAAAAUAUGUAUAGUUUGUUUUUUGUACGAAAGUUUACUUUAUGGCAACUCCAACGCAAGACUACCGUUGUUGAUACAUUUAAACCGUUUAAUAGAUUAAGACAUUGCGCACAACGGACGCUGUGGCACCUAGAUGGCUUAGUGAUACAGUUAUCAACGCUUUCUUAUGGAAACUUUCAUGUGAAUAUCCUGGUGUCCUACCAGCAGAAUCAUUUGUAUGACAGUUGGUGCAAGGAGGAUAUAGUACACGCCAACUGUGGGCAGAUCAAAAUUUCAUGGCAAUUGACAAAAUAAUAUACCUCUCAAUAUGUCUGGGAGCCAUUGGUCACUUUGGUAAAUACAAUAUGGAUGCAACAUAGCUAAGACAAGAAGACAAAUUUUUAUUACUGUAUAUAUUUACAAGCAACAGGAAAAAUGGUGAAUUUCAGCCACCUAGUAGAUUGAACUGUUAAAACUUUGAAAUAUUUCCACCUACCUCAUUCUUGCUCAACUUUUCCUGAUCUUCAGGACAUUUUGGAUUAGGACCACUACAAAUGAAAGGAAUAUAAAAGCUGUUAAAAAAUGGUGAAUUUCAAACAAUGUGGUAAUCUGUUCCACAGUUGGUGCCUAGAGGAAAAGGGAGCAAAAUUCAUUCAUGCAUGUCUGACAAAUUUCCCUCCCUUUAAAAUCAGUUGUUAUUUUGAGCAAGAUUAGGCAACUGUUUCUACUUUCUAACUAUCACGUCAAAAAACCUAAAUAACAAUUUUGAGGCACUACUUAAACUAACAUGAUAUCAAGAAUUUUGCAUAGAAAUUGAAAUUGCAGUUAUGUAUAAUAGGAAAAAAAUUAGGAUAAAAAUCCUUAAUGUAGCAAACUUUCUCCUUA